rnacentral:rRNA from 1 species
CAUGCAAGUCGAACGGAAAGGCCCUUCGGGGUGCUCGAGUGGCGAACGGGUGAGUAACACGUGGGUGAUCUGCCUCGUACUCUGGGAUAAGCCUGGGAAACUGGGUCUAAUACCGGAUAGGACCUUGGGUCGCAUGGCCUUGGGUGGAAAGUUUUUCGGUACGAGAUGGGCCCGCGGCCUAUCAGCUUGUUGGUGGGGUAAUGGCCUACCAAGGCGACGACGGGUAGCCGGCCUGAGAGGGCGACCGGCCACACUGGGACUGAGACACGGCCCAGACUCCUACGGGAGGCAGCAGUGGGGAAUAUUGCACAAUGGGCGCAAGCCUGAUGCAGCGACGCCGCGUGAGGGAUGACGGCCUUCGGGUUGUAAACCUCUUUCACCAGGGGCGAAUUUAGGACGGUACCUGGAGAAGAAGCACCGGCCAACUACGUGCCAGCAGCCGCGGUAAUACGUAGGGUGCGAGCGUUGUCCGGAAUUACUGGGCGUAAAGAGCUCGUAGGCGGUUUGUCGCGUCGUUCGUGAAAACCCGAUGCUUAACGUCGGGCGUGCGGGCGAUACGGGCAGACUUGAGUACUACAGGGGAGACUGGAAUUCCUGGUGUAGCGGUGAAAUGCGCAGAUAUCAGGAGGAACACCGGUGGCGAAGGCGGGUCUCUGGGUAGUAACUGACGCUGAGGAGCGAAAGCGUGGGUAGCGAACAGGAUUAGAUACCCUGGUAGUCCACGCCGUAAACGGUGGGUACUAGGUGUGGGUUUCUUUCACGGGAUCCGUGCCGUAGCUAACGCAUUAAGUACCCCGCCUGGGGAGUACGGCCGCAAGGCUAAAACUC